CUACCUGACUGUCCAGCAGAUCCACCCUGUCUACACUACCUGCCUGUCCAAAAGAUCCACCCUGUCUAUAUUACCUGCCUAUACAGCAGAACUACCCUGUCUACACUACCAGCCUCCCCAGCAGAUCCACCCUGUCUAUACUACCUGCCUGGCCAGUAGAUGCAUCCUGUCUUCACUACCUGCUUGUCCAGCAGGUCCACCAUGUCUACACUGCCUGCCUGGCCAGCAGAUCCACCCUGUCUACACUACCUGCUUGUCCAGCAGGUCCACCCUGUCUACACUACCUGCCUGCAAAGCAGAUCCACCCUGUCUACACUACCUGGCUGGCCAGUAGAUCCACGCUAUCUACACUACCUUCCUGUCCAGCAGAUCCAACCUGUCUAUACUACCUGCCUGUCGAGCAGAUCCACCCUGUCUAUACUACCUGCCUGUCCAGCAGGUCCACCCUGUCUACACUACCUGCGUGCCCAGCUGAUCCGCCCUGUCUACACUACCUGCUUGUCGAGCAGAUCUGCCCUGUCUACACUACCUGCCUGUCCAGCAGAUCCACCCUGUCUAUACUCCGUACCUGGCCAGCAGAUCCACGCUAUCUACACUACCUGCCUGUCCAGCAGAUCCACACUGUCUACACUACUUGCCUGUCCAGCAGAUCCACUCUGUCUACACUAACUGCCUGCCCAGCAGAUCCACCCUGUCUAUACUACUUGCCUGGCCAGUAGAUCCACGCUAUCUACACUACCUGCCUGGCCAGUAGAUCCACGGUAUCUACACUACCUCCCUGGCCAGCAGAUUCACCCAGUCUACACUAACUGCUUGUCCAGCAGGUCCACCCUGUCUACACUACGUGCCUGCCAGCAGAUCCAAGCUGUCUACACUACCUGCCUGGCCAGUAGAUCCAUGCUAUCUCCACUACCUGCCUAUCCAACUGAUCCACCCUCUCUUUACUACCUUCCUGUCCGGCAGAUUGACCCUCUCUACUCUACCUGCCUGGCCAGCAGAUCCACGCUAUCUACACUACCUGACUUACCAGAUCCACCCUGUCUACACUACAUGCUUGUCCAGCAGGUCCACCCUGUCUACACUACCUGCCUCUCCAGAAGAUCCAC
rnacentral:lncRNA from 1 species